rnacentral:rRNA from 3 species
GUGGAGCCUGCGGCUUAAUUUGACUCAACACGGGAAACCUCACCAGGCCCGGACACCAGAAGGAUUGACAGAUUAAGAGCUCUUUCUCGAUUUGGUGGGUGGUGGUGCAUGGCCGUUCUUAGUUGGUGGAGUGAUUUGUCUGGUUAAUUCCGGUAACGAACGAGACUCUGGCCUACUAAAUAGUCGACGGGCGUUUUGGUGCAUGGGCCCCGUUCGACACAGUCUUCUUAGAGGGAUGAGCAGCGAGUAUAGCUGCAGGAGAUUGAGCAAUAACAGGUCUGUGAUGCCCUUAGAUGUCCUGGGCCGCACGCGCGCUACACUGAAUGGGUUAGCGGGUUGUCCUUCUCCGAGAGGAGCGGGAAAUCGCGUGAAAACCAUUCGUGAUAGGGAUUGGGGCUUGCAAUUGUUUCCCAUGAACGAGGAAUUCCCAGUAAGCGCAAGUCAUCAGCUUGCGUUGAUUAAGUCCCUGCCCUUUGUACACACCGCCCGUCGCUACUACCGAUUGAAUGAUUUAGUGAGGCCUUCGGACUGGCGGUCUUGGACUGGGGCGCCGGCUUUCUCCCAGCAAUGGGGUGCCGGCGACUCGCCUGGACGGGCCGGAAAGAUGUCCAAACUUGAUCAUUUAGAGGAAGUAAAAGUCGUAACAAGGUUUCC